rnacentral:rRNA from 1 species
UAAUACGGAAGGUGCAAGCGUUAAUCGGAAUUACUGGGCGUAAAGCGCGCGUAGGUGGUUUGUUAAGUUGGAUGUGAAAGCCCUGGGCUCAACCUAGGAACUGCAUCCAAAACUGACUGACUAGAGUACGAUAGAGGGAGGUAGAAUUCAUAGUGUAGCGGUGGAAUGCGUAGAUAUUAUGAAGAAUACCAGUGGCGAAGGCGGCCUCCUGGAUCUGUACUGACACUGAGGUGCGAAAGCGUGGGUAGCGAACAGGAUUAGAUACCCUGGUAGUCCACGCCGUAAACGAUGACAACUAGCUGUUGGGAGGCAAUGCCUUUCAGUGGCGCAGCUAACGUUUUAAGUUGUCCGCCUGGGGAGUACGGCCGCAAGGCUA